AUAGCUGGUUCUCUCCGAAAUAGCUUUAGGGCUAGCCUCAAGUGAUGAUUAUUGGAGGUAGAGCACUGUUUGGACGAGGGGCCCCUCUCGGGUUACCGAAUUCAGACAAACUCCGAAUGCCAAUUAAUUUAACUUGGGAGUCAGAACAUGGGUGAUAAGGUCCGUGUUCGAAAGGGAAACAGCCCAGACCACCAGCUAAGGUCCCAAAAUAUAUGUUAAGUGGAAAAGGAUGUGGCGUUGCCCAGACAACUAGGAUGUUGGCUUAGAAGCAGCCAUCAUUUAAAGAGUGCGUAAUAGCUCACUAGUCGAGUGACACUGCGCCGAAAAUGUACCGGGGCUAAACAUAUUACCGAAGCUGUGGAUUGUCCUUUGGACAAUGGUAGGAGAGCGUUCUAAGGGCGUUGAAGCAUGAUCGUAAGGACAUGUGGAGCGCUUAGAAGUGAGAAUGCCGGUGUGAGUAGCGAAAGACGGGUGAGAAUCCCGUCCACCGAUUGACUAAGGUUUCCAGAGGAAGGCUCGUCCGCUCUGGGUUAGUCGGGUCCUAAGCUGAGGCCGACAGGCGUAGGCGAUGGAUAACAGGUUGAUAUUCCUGUACCACCUAUAAUCGUUUUAAUCGAUGGGGGGACGCAGUAGGAUAGGCGAAGCGUGCGAUUGGAUUGCACGUCUAAGCAGUAAGGCUGAGUAUUAGGCAAAUCCGGUACUCGUUAAGGCUGAGCUGUGAUGGGGAGAAGACAUUGAGUCUUCGAGUCGUUGAUUUCACACUGCCGAGAAAAGCCUCUAGAUAGAAAAUAGGUGCCCGUACCGCAAACCGACACAGGUAGUCAAGAUGAGAAUUCUAAGGUGAGCGAGCGAACUCUCGUUAAGGAACUCGGCAAAAUGACCCCGUAACUCGGGAGAAGGGGUGCUCUUUAGGGUUAACGCCCAGAAGAGCCGCAGUGAAUAGGCCCAAGCGACUGUUUAUCAAAAACACAGGUCUCUGCUAAACCGUAAGGUGAUGUAUAGGGGCUGACGCCUGCCCGGUGCUGGAAGGUUAAGAGGAGUGGUUAGCUUCUGCGAAGCUACGAAUCGAAGCCCCAGUAAACGGCGGCCGUAACUAUAACGGUCCUAAGGUAGCGAAAUUCCUUGUCGGGUAAGUUCCGACCCGCACGAAAGGCGUAACGAUUUGGGCACUGUCUCAACGAGAGACUCGGUGAAAUCAUAGUACCUGUGAAGAUGCAGGUUACCCGCGACAGGACGGAAAGACCCCGUGGAGCUUUACUGUAGCCUGAUAUUGAAAUUCGGCACAGCUUGUACAGGAUAGGUAGGAGCCUUUGAAACGUGAGCGCUAGCUUACGUGGAGGCGCUGGUGGGAUACUACCCUAGCUGUGUUGGCUUUCUAACCCGCACCACUUAUCGUGGUGGGAGACAGUGUCAGGCGGGCAGUUUGACUGGGGCGGUCGCCUCCUAAAAGGUAACGGAGGCGCUCAAAGGUUCCCUCAGAAUGGUUGGAAAUCAUUCAUAGAGUGUAAAGGCAUAAGGGAGCUUGACUGCGAGACCUACAAGUCGAGCAGGGUCGAAAGACGGACUUAGUGAUCCGGUGGUUCCGCAUGGAAGGGCCAUCGCUCAACGGAUAAAAGCUACCCCGGGGAUAACAGGCUUAUCUCCCCCAAGAGUUCACAUCGACGGGGAGGUUUGGCACCUCGAUGUCGGCUCAUCGCAUCCUGGGGCUGUAGUCGGUCCCAAGGGUUGGGCUGUUCGCCCAUUAAAGCGGUACGCGAGCUGGGUUCAGAACGUCGUGAGACAGUUCGGUCCCUAUCCGUCGUGGGCGUAGGAAAUUUGAGAGGAGCUGUCCUUAGUACGAGAGGACCGGGAUGGACAUACCUCUGGUGUACCAGUUGUCGUGCCAACGGCAUAGCUGGGUAGCUAUGUGUGGACGGGAUAAGUGCUGAAAGCAUCUAAGCAUGAAGCCCCCCUCAAGAUGAGAUUUCCCAACUUCGGUUAUAAGAUCCCUCAAAGAUGAUGAGGUUAAUAGGUUCGAGGUGGAAGCAUGGUGACAUGUGGAGCUGACGAAUACUAAUCGAUCGAAGACUUAAUCAAAA
rnacentral:rRNA from 1 species